GGAAAGUUACUCAAGUUGGUUAAGAGGACAGAUUUCUAAUCGAUUAGUAGACUUAAAAUAUAGUAAGAGUUAGAAUAUCUUACUUUCCACCA
rnacentral:tRNA from 1 species